CCUUUUCUUUUUCUUAGUCUCCCCCAACACACACCCCCACCAAAAUUAUUUAACUAAACCUCAGUUCGCCCACACACCUGAUUGGCUGUGAACACUGUGAAGAGAAACUGAGGGGAAGAGCCAGGUCCCGCUGAGAGUGUCUGCCCAGCCUUCUCGCUCCUCACUCUUACGAAGCUAUCUGUCCUCUCUCCCACAGCCCCCAACCACAGGCAACACACGGAUUUCCCUCCCGGUCAUACUUUAACUGGGACCCUUCUGAAGUAUGGAAGGAAUUUGUGGACAAGGUCCUGGGUCUGACAUCAUUGAUACAUACAUUCUAAAAGACAUGAUUGUUCUCCAAUUGUUUUGUGAGGUCCUGACGCCCUAGAAGGGCCCGGCUCCAGGCUCUACCCUUCUUUUGUAUUUUGGACAUGAUAAAUACCUGUUCUUCUCUGAAGAAGCUUUUCUAAUAUGCGGAGCCGAAAACUGAAAGCGGCCCUUAUUUAACUGGGUUGAGUUUAAUUAAUCUGCCUGAGAUUUCAGUGAGAUGCUCUCGGCUCUGCUCAUCUGCUGUCUUGGUCCUGGCAGUCUGUAAGGGUGCAUUUCCUGAGUUAGACUACCCCUCCGUUUAGAUAGCGAGGAACUCUGCUUGCUUUCUGUUGAACGGUGUGUGUCCCUCCUAGUCUGACAGGAGAAGCACAAGCCAUUGCUCUCUGUAGAAGCUGUGAUUAUGGUGGUCUUUGACUCCCUAGAACUUGGUCGUGGAAGGGACCUGUUUCACCUGCAUUUCACCUGCAUUUGCUUUCUAAGCAUUCUGGGACUUGGAUGCAAUUUGUAACCUCUCAGAUCAGUUGUUUUGCUAUGUUUUGUAUUCAUUAGUAGUGUGGGUACACGUGACAUGUAUAUGAGGACACUUGUGUGUCACUGUGGGUGGGGAGGUUGGAGGAGUCAGCUUGGCCUUCUACCGAACACAAGUCUUCAGACUUGGUGCCAAGCGCCUUCGCCCUCUGAGCCAUCUUGCCAUCCCUCGGAUCACAUUUUAAGAGUUUUGUUGUUGUUAUUGUUGCUGUUGUUGCUUUUUUUUAAAAGACAGGGUUUUUCUGUAUAGCUGUGGCUGUCCUGGAACUCACUCUGUAGACCAGGCUGACCUUGAACUCAGAAAUCCGCCUGCCUCAGCCUCCCAAGUGCUGGGAUUAAAGGCGUGCGCCACCA
rnacentral:lncRNA from 1 species